rnacentral:rRNA from 1 species
UACGAACCGUGCGAACGUUGUUCGGAUUCACUGGGCUUAAAGGGCGCGUAGGCGGAUCACCAAGUCCGGGGUGAAAUCUCUCGGCUCAACCGGAAAAUUGCCUGGGAUACUGGUGGUCUUGAGGGAGGUAGGGGCAUGCGGAACUUCCGGUGGAGCGGUGAAAUGCGUAGAUAUCGGAAGGAACGCCGGUGGCGAAAGCGGCGUGCUGGACCUCUUCUGACGCUGAGGCGCGAAAGCCAGGGGAGCAAACGGG